GAUGAACGCUGGCGGCGUGCCUAAUACAUGCAAGUCGAGCGAACGGACGAGAAGCUUGCUUCUCUGAUGUUAGCGGCGGACGGGUGAGUAACACGUGGAUAACCUACCUAUAAGACUGGGAUAACUUCGGGAAACCGUAACUAAUACCGGAUAAUAUUUUGAACCGCAUGGUUCAAAAGUGAAAGACGGUCUUGCUGUCACUUAUAGAUGGAUCCGCGCUGCAUUAGCUAGUUGGUAAGGUAACGGCUUACCAAGGCAACGAUGCAUAGCCGACCUGAGGGGGUGAUCGGCCACACUGGAACUGAGACACGGUCCAGACUCCUACGGGAGGCAGCAGUAGGGAAUCUUCCGCAAUGGGCGAAAGCCUGACGGAGCAACGCCGCGUGAGUGAUGAAGGUCUUCGGAUCGUAAAACUCUGUUAUUAGGGAAGAACAUAUGUGUAAGUAACUGUGCACAUCUUGACGGUACCUAAUCAGAAAGCCACGGCUAACUACGUG
rnacentral:rRNA from 1 species